GAUGAACGCUGGCGGCGUGCCUAAUACAUGCAAGUCGAGCGAACGGACGAGACGCUUGCUUUUCUGAUGUUAGCGGCGGACGGGUGAGUAACACGUGGAUAACCUACCUAUAAGACUGGGAUAACUUCGGGAAACCGGAGCUAACACCGGAUAAUAUUUUGAACCGCAUGGUUCAAAAGUGAAAGACGGUCUUGCUGUCACUUAUAGAUGGAUCCGCGCUGCAUUAGCUAGUUGGUAAGGUAACGGCUUACCAAGGCAACGAUGCAUAGCCGACCUGAGAGGGUGAUCGGUCACACUGGAACUGAGACACGGUCCAGACUCCUACGGGAGGCAGCAGUGGGGAAUCUUCGACAAUGGGCGAAAGCCUGACGGAGCAACGCCGCGUGUGUGAUGAAGGUCUUCGGAUCGUAAAACUCUGUUAUUAGGGAAGAACAUAUGUGAAAGUAACUGUGCACAUCUUGACGGUACCUAAUCAGAAAGCCACGGCUAACUACGUG
rnacentral:rRNA from 1 species